AUGCCUGGGGGCAGCAGGACCGGGGCUCGGCCCCUCCCAGUUGGGCAUUUUCUGGUCUGUUUACCUGUGCCCCUUGCCUGCCUCGCGGGGGGCGGGGGGAACGCGCCUCCUGGGGGCGCCUGUCAGCGACGCUCCUGUCCUGCAGCUCCCAAAGGCGGACCGGGGAGGGAGCACGCUGACCCGGGUCAGUGGGUGGAUCCGGCAGUCCCCGGCGCUGCGGCGGGCGGGCACGGGGGAGAUGUUCUCUCGGUGCCUCCCGGCGAGGUGGCGGGUGGGGCGGGUUCAGGGGCCCAGCCCCGGGAGAGGUCCGCAGGGCAGCGGGUCCAGCCGCGCCCCGCCCCGCCCCGCCCCGCCCCGCCCGGCCCGGCCCACUCUGCGCGGGGCCCCGGGCGGUCCGGGCGGUCGGGGCGGUCGCGGCGGUCGCGGCGGCGCGGGGCGGCGCGGCAGGUGGGCGGGCGGCGCGGCAGGUGGGCGGGCUCCGCGGCGGCCGCGUUCACCUGGCCCGCAGGAAGCCGGCGGCGGGGGCGGGGGCGGGGGCGGGGGCGGGGGCGGGGUGCGCGCCGAGCAGGGAGCCGCCGUCAGUCGGCGCGGCGCGGCGCGCCAGCGAGGACGAGCCUCCGGCCCUGGCGGCCCGCGUCUCCCGCCCCGGAAGGCGGCGCCGGCGGCGAGCUCCCGACCCGCUGCGCACCGGCGGGGCCCGGGCUGCGGAGACCCCUCGGCCUCGGAGCGGCGAGCGCGCUUCUGACGAGCUCGGCGGUCCAGGAUGGGAAACCAUGCAGGAAAGCGGGAGUUAAGUGCGGAGAAGAGCAACAAGGCUGGAGGGACUCCCCCAGGAGGAGUGGACCGGAGGGGCGUCCGCCAGCUGGCCCGGGAGGCCUCGGAAGACAACGAGGUGUUCGGUACGUGACAGGGGAAUGCGAGGGCGUAGCUUCAGGCGACAACCCUGUGCAGCUGCACUCACGUGGGGAAGGUUGUAAUUUUUUAAUUACGCGACUCGUCUAUCAGUCUGUUCCCAGCAUCGACAACGCAGACGCCGCAGAACCGUGGGGUAGGUGUCCUUGGCCGGCCUCCUGCUGGCGGUUCUCCCCGGUGGGGCCUGUCCCGAGCUGUCGCGUGCCUUGCACGGUCGCUGGACGCUCCCCAGAGGCGUCCCUACAGUGCGACACUUCUCCAGUUAUCUCUGUGGCCAUUCUUGGGUGGAAAACCUAA
rnacentral:lncRNA from 1 species